rnacentral:rRNA from 1 species
AGAGUUUGAUCCUGGCUCAGGAUGAACGCUAGCUACAGGCUUAACACAUGCAAGUCGAGGGGCAGCAUCAUCAAAGCUUGCUUUGAUGGAUGGCGACCGGCGCACGGGUGAGUAACACGUAUCCAACCUGCCGACAACACUGGGAUAGCCUUUCGAAAGAAAGAUUAAUACCGGAUGGCAUAGUUUUCCCGCAUGGGAUAAUUAUUAAAGAAUUUCGGUUGUCGAUGGGGAUGCGUUCCAUUAGGCAGUUGGCGGGGUAACGGCCCACCAAACCUACGAUGGAUAGGGGUUCUGAGAGGAAGGUCCCCCACAUUGGAACUGAGACACGGUCCAAACUCCUACGGGAGGCAGCAGUGAGGAAUAUUGGUCAAUGGACGAGAGUCUGAACCAGCCAAGUAGCGUGAAGGAUGACUGCCCUAUGGGUUGUAAACUUCUUUUAUACGGGAAUAAAGUGAGCCACGUGUGGCUUUUUGUAUGUACCGUAUGAAUAAGGAUCGGCUAACUCCGUGCCAGCAGCCGCGGUAAUACGGAGGAUCCGAGCGUUAUCCGGAUUUAUUGGGUUUAAAGGGAGCGUAGGCGGGUUGUUAAGUCAGUUGUGAAAGUUUGCGGCUCAACCGUAAAAUUGCAGUUGAUACUGGCGACCUUGAGUGCAACAGAGGUAGGCGGAAUUCGUGGUGUAGCGGUGAAAUGCUUAGAUAUCACGAAGAACUCCGAUUGCGAAGGCAGCUUACUGGAUUGUAACUGACACUGAUGCUCGAAAGUGUGGGUAUCAAACAGGAUUAGAUACCCUGGUAGUCCACACAGUAAACGAUGAAUACUCGCUGUUUGCGAUAUACAGUAAGCGGCCAAGCGAAAGCAUUAAGUAUUCCACCUGGGGAGUACGCCGGCAACGGUGAAACUCAAAGGAAUUGACGGGGGCCCGCACAAGCGGAGGAACAUGUGGUUUAAUUCGAUGAUACGCGAGGAACCUUACCCGGGCUUAAAUUGCAA